GCUGGGCGUGGUGGUGCACGCCUGUAAUCCCAGCUACUUGGGAGGCUGAGGCAGCAGAAUCACUUGAACCCAGGAGGUGGAGGUUGUAGUGAAUCGAGAUCAUGUCACUGCACUCCAGCCUGGGUGACAGAGUGAAACUCUGCCUCAA
rnacentral:sRNA from 1 species